rnacentral:rRNA from 1 species
AUUGAACGCUGGCGGCGUGCUUAACACAUGCAAGUCGAGCGGUAACAGGCGUAGCAAUACGUGCUGACGAGCGGCGAACGGGUGAGUAAUGCUUCGGAAUCUGCCCAGUAGUGGGGAAUAACCUGGGGAAACUCAGGCUAAUACCGCAUACGAACUAAGGUUGAAAGCAGGGGAUCGCAAGACCUUGCGCUAUUGGAUGAGCCGAAGUCGGAUUAGCUAGUGGCGAGGUAAUGGCUCACCAAGGCGACGAUCCGUAGCUGGUCUGAGAGGACGACCAGCCACACUGGGACUGAGACACGGCCCAGACUCCUACGGGAGGCAGCAGUGGGGAAUUUUGGACAAUGGGGGCAACCCUGAUCCAGCAAUGCCGCGUGUGUGAAGAAGGCC